rnacentral:misc_RNA from 1 species
AAGGAGCACUUCUUACCGGGCUCUGCUCGGUCAGAGGCCAGUACAUCAGCGAAUGUCUGAUGCUGGUUGCUCAUGGGUGGAACGUUGACUACUCGGCCGGAUUAUUCGGGUCGGGGGCUUGCCAGUACUGCUCUUCGGAGCGUGGAACACAUGAUCCCCGGACGGAUUCUGGCCGGGCACGCUGUUGGGUGUCUGAGGGAAUGAUCUGAUCUUCUCCUCAGUCGCCGGCCCCAGUGCACUCACCAGUUUGGCUGGUGGGGUGAUGGGUGGCAGGUCGUUG